rnacentral:rRNA from 1 species
AUAGGGGCGCAAGCCUGACCCAGCAACGCCGCGUGAAGGAAGAAGGCUUUCGGGUUGUAAACUUCUUUUGACAGGGAAGAGCAGAAGACGGUACCUGUCGAAUAAGCCACGGCUAACUACGUGCC